UUCCUUUAAGAGCCUGCCUUUGCGCAUAGCUCCUCCUCCUUUUGUGCGUGCCUGCAUUUUAAACCUGACGUAACCGUUGCUGAGCUCAUCCUCUUCCGGUGAUAAUAGUUACAUUUACAAAGUUUCACUUUAGUUAAGUUUAACAAUACUGAAUAAAUAAAUAAGUUGAAUAGUCUAAGCGAGCCCUCAAAGUGUGGUGAUAAUUAUGUCAACUUUCCGUAAAUUACUCUACGUACCGUGCUUCGACACUCAGUCGCCUCAAACGGACAAGGAAUCGGGAUAUAACGGAGAAAACAACAAACACCGCAGACUGAACGGGUUGACUCAAGAGGCGACGCCCUUACUCUUCCUCGACGUUACGAGUCCCGAAAUAACACCAUGUUUUUCAAGAAAGGUGAAAACUAACCAUCUUUUGAGGUUGUACGCCAAUAUGAGAUCAACGGUUAAUCUGAGGGCGACUAAAGGCGGGAAAUCUCGGCGCGCCAAACGCGUCACUUACGAAGGUGUAGGAGAGCAGCCACACAGGGACUCAUCUGACACUUUUGGAUUCCCAGCAAGAGAUGUUAAAGCAGAUGAAAUGUCCCGAUCCCGAACAAAACAGGAGGUAUUGAGGACAAUCAAGAGAAUGGUGGAGGAGAACAGGGUCAUCAGAGAGCGGUUACUCGCCUUGAGGCAGCAGAGCCGAAGCAAAUGAGUUUCAGGUGGUACCACAUACACCGAAUUUUCAAGAGGAAAGGGAUGUUCACAUGUCACAAUGCUGUUUUUUUGUUCACAAUGAUAUGUUAAUAUUAGAAUCUAAAUUCUAAGGGUUUUAAAAAAGGACAAAUUUACGGAGGACAUGAGCAUGACUUACAGAUGACCACUAGAUGGAGAUAUUUCCAAAAUUAAGUGCAACUACAUAAAGUGUAGAAGGGCUCUUACUUCCAAACUCUCCUUUUAAAUUAUUCUGUAUAUACUAGUUGCUGUUUUUGUUAUUACUUUUUAAAAAUUAUAAGGAGGAUGACCUUCUAAUGUGUUCGUUCAUUAACUUUAUAGGACUUCUUUCAUCGCUUUUGUUCCAUUGUCAGCUGUAGUGUUACUAUUUAAGCUUUCUAGUUUGACAGAUUGUAAUUUGUUAGUAACAAAAAAGAAACACUGAAUGGUCAUCACUGAUUACAUUUAUUUAUUUAUUUAUUUAUUUAUUUAUUUAACUGAUUAAAAAACAAAAGUAUUAGAGAAAGGUUUGUUAUUGUAUGUCAGGUGACAAAAAUGUUUAUUAAAACGUUGAAUGGCCAUCACUGAUGACAUUUAUCUUAUUUCUAUUCUAUUUUAACUGGUACUAGAUGUUUCAAAAAGCAACAAAAGGAGACUUACUUAGAAUUUACUGAAGACAAUUGCAUUACAUUCCCAGUUUCAAAGGAGCUCAACAUCUUGCUUAUGCAGGUUGUGGUUUUGUGGCCGAAAUCAUCAAAUAGAAAAGCUAUUGUUGAGAACGUGUCCUCAGACAUUUAAACUGAGAUAGAUAAUCAUGUUGUCAAGUCAAGUCUGUAUAAUGAAGCAAUAAACCUUGCUUAUAGUUUAGGCCCCUCUCCUGG
ensembl:lncRNA